AUGGAAUUCUCAAUUAGGAAAGC
rnacentral:piRNA from 1 species